ACGAAACUAAAAUCUCAUCCUGGAGGUGAUAGGGAGCCAGUGGAAUUUAUUGAGGUGGGAGGUAAUGUGAUCAAACUUGUGGUUUUGGGAAAGCACUUUAGUGGCUGAAUGGAGAAUGGAUAGGAGUGGAGAGAGGCUUGAGGCAGGCAGACCCCCCUCCCCCCCAGCAGCUAUUUCAGUACUCCAGAUUUGAGGGGAUGGGACCUGCACCAGGGGAGUGGCAGCGUCAGAGGAGAGAAGGGUGCGUAUUGGAGAGAUGGCAGCAGCUAGGAUAGUGAAGAGUCCAAGAGGACGCCUAAGAUGAGGCUUUUCUUAAUGAGAGUGUCAAACUCAAAAAUGAAUGGAGUUCAUGAGGAUCCCUGGGGCAGCAUCUUGACUUCUUUUUAAAAGACCCUCCAAAAAGACUUUGCACUUUGAGGACCAGAGAUGGAAAGGACCUUAGAAAUCAUCUUGUACAGCCCCUUCAUUUUACAGACAAGGCAAUGAGGCCCAGAUAGAAGUAAUCUGUCCAGACGAACACACCUACUAAGUGCUGGAUGCUCCCUAGAAUCCACUCCCACCCUCCGACUGGAGAGGAAACUUGUCCCAAGGU